GAAUGCUGACAUAAGUAACGAUAAAGCGGGUGAAAAGCCCGCUCGCCGGAAGACCAAGGGUUCCUGUCCAACGUUAAUCGGGGCAGGGUGAGUCGACCCCUAAGGCGAGGCCGAAAGGCGUAGUCGAUGGGAAACAGGUUAAUAUUCCUGUACUUGGUGUUACUGCGAAGGGGGGACGGAGAAGGCUAUGUUGGCCGGGCGACGGUUGUCCCGGUUUAAGCGUGUAGGCUGGUUUUCCAGGCAAAUCCGGAAAAUCAAGGCUGAGGCGUGAUGACGAGGCACUACGGUGCUGAAGCGACAAAUGCCCUGCUUCCAGGAAAAGCCUCUAAGCAUCAGGUAACAUCAAAUCGUACCCCAAACCGACACAGGUGGUCAGGUAGAGAAUACCAAGGCGCUUGAGAGAACUCGGGUGAAGGAACUAGGCAAAAUGGUGCCGUAACUUCGGGAGAAGGCACGCUGAUAUGUAGGUGAAGCGACUUGCUCGUGGAGCUGAAAUCAGUCGAAGAUACCAGCUGGCUGCAACUGUUUAUUAAAAACACAGCACUGUGCAAACACGAAAGUGGACGUAUACGGUGUGACGCCUGCCCGGUGCCGGAAGGUUAAUUGAUGGGGUUAGCGGUAACGCGAAGCUCUUGAUCGAAGCCCCGGUAAACGGCGGCCGUAACUAUAACGGUCCUAAGGUAGCGAAAUUCCUUGUCGGGUAAGUUCCGACCUGCACGAAUGGCGUAAUGAUGGCCAGGCUGUCUCCACCCGAGACUCAGUGAAAUUGAACUCGCUGUGAAGAUGCAGUGUACCCGCGGCAAGACGGAAAGACCCCGUGAACCUUUACUAUAGCUUGACACUGAACAUUGAGCCUUGAUGUGUAGGAUAGGUGGGAGGCUUUGAAGUGUGGACGCCAGUCUGCAUGGAGCCGACCUUGAAAUACCACCCUUUAAUGUUUGAUGUUCUAACGUGGGCCCCUUACCGGGGUUGCGGACAGUGUCUGGUGGGUAGUUUGACUGGGGCGGUCUCCUCCUAAAGAGUAACGGAGGAGCACGAAGGUUGGCUAAUCCUGGUCGGACAUCAGGAGGUUAGUGCAAUGGCAUAAGCCAGCUUGACUGCGAGCGUGACGGCGCGAGCAGGUGCGAAAGCAGGUCAUAGUGAUCCGGUGGUUCUGAAUGGAAGGGCCAUCGCUCAACGGAUAAAAGGUACUCCGGGGAUAACAGGCUGAUACCGCCCAAGAGUUCAUAUCGACGGCGGUGUUUGGCACCUCGAUGUCGGCUCAUCACAUCCUGGGGCUGAAGUAGGUCCCAAGGGUAUGGCUGUUCGCCAUUUAAAGUGGUACGCGAGCUGGGUUUAGAACGUCGUGAGACAGUUCGGUCCCUAUCUGCCGUGGGCGCUGGAGAACUGAGGGGGGCUGCUCCUAGUACGAGAGGACCGGAGUGGACGCAUCACUGGUGUUCGGGUUGUCAUGCCAAUGGCACUGCCCGGUAGCUAAAUGCGGAAGAGAUAAGUGCUGAAAGCAUCUAAGCACGAAACUUGCCCCGAGAUGAGUUCUCCCUGACUCCUUGAGAGUCCUGAAGGAACGUUGAAGACGACGACGUUGAUAGGCCGGGUGUGUAAGCGCAGCGAUGCGUUGAGCUAACCGGUACUAAUGAACCGUGAGGCUUAACCUUACAACGCCGA
rnacentral:rRNA from 1 species